GGCACGUCUGCAGCCAUUUUGGCACUGUGUCUCUGGAGACACCCCGAGAGUUCACCCCCUCGCAGGCAAAACUUUGGCCAAUAAAGUUCCAUCUUAAACUCCUGAAAGCUUCUGACAUUUGUUACUCGUAUUGGGGAAUGCUACAUUUUGGAGGCCCCAGCGAGAUCUCCCUCAGAGUUUCGGGUUGGAAGCUGGAGGGACGGCUGGGGCUGAAUACAACCUGACCAGUAUGCCGACAGUCCAGUAAUGCCAGCCUUUGGAUGCCAAGCCUGCGACUUCCUGGUGACAGCCAACUGACCAGGACCCUGUAAGGUCUUUCCCCUUACAGGAAGGACUCCCUCCGUGCUGCACCCCCCCCCUCUGGGCACCCCCUAUCCCAAGGGUAGAUAGGACAGCAUCCAUUUCCAGCUGGAAGGAGUUAAAAGAAGAUGAGACCUCCGUCCAUUUUCCUUUAUAUGAUCAUGAAGUCGGUGUAUAUCUGAAAGGAGGAAUAUUGAUACAGGGUGCAUCCAAGGGGGGCCCCAGAAAGGAUUUGGGAUGGAAUCCAAAGUUCGGGUGUCCAAGAAAUAUUGAGAUGUAUGCACCCCCCCAGGAGGAGGAAACGAAUGGAGCAGGGCCAUUGAGAGCUGUUUUGCGUAACAACGGGUUUGCAGCUGACCUCUAGAGUGAUUAUUUGACAUAUGGCCUUUGGCUAGUUUAGUGGAUGUGUUAAAUAGUAUAGCCAAGCUUAGAGCAGGGGAAAUAAAGUCACUUACCCAGGAUAUAACUAGGAGCAGAGCCCCUGAGGGGGGAGGCCUGUAUAAGAGCUUAAAAAAGAUCAGCUCCAGGACAUAAGGAGAUAACUACUCAGGUGAAAGAGGGAGCCACGUGGCUUAGGGCAAAGUGACCACCCCUGCAGCUUUAGUAGAAGAAGCCCACAGGGCUUUGGGUGCCCCCUUUGGCCGCGUGGCCUAGAAAACAAGAGAAACUUUGACUAGAACUUGAUGCAGAAGAACUCUUGCCAGUAGACUGUAAAAGAAUGCCACAUAACUUUGGAUUAACUAGAGAUCCUGCCUGAUAGAGCUGACAGUGCCAGCAACUUCAAACACAGAUGUGUGCUCUUUCUUGAUUUACAGUACCCGGAGUUGGGACAGUGUGAGUAGGGAGCAAAGACAUGAAAGUAUUUUAGGUUGAAAAACUUGGUUUCUGACUGCUCUUUUACAAUAAUAGCACUGGAAUUAUAGGUGAUAGCAAGGGGGACUUUGUGCAGCACUAAGAGAAGAAUGCUGUUUUCAUGCCAACCACUUAGGAGCAAUAAGAGACAAUGACUCCAGCUAGUAUGCCUCAAUGUUCAGAACCUCCCCCUGGCUGACCACCCUAAUCUCAGCCAUAGCUGGGCCACAAUUAAUAUUAAUAUUAGUACUAACAAUUGGGCCCAUAAUACUCAACAAGAUCCUCGCCUUCAUCAAAGAACGGGUAGAAGUAGUCAAGCUAAUGGUCCUGUCCCAGCCAUACACCAUAUUACCUGGGGAUGAGACCAAAUCAAUGGUUUGAUUCAUAAGCAAGAGAAGUGGGGAAUGUUAGGCCCGGAAUUAGAUAAAAGUAGCCAAGAGGAACCCGAGGCAGGCUCCAGACUGUCUCAGCAAAGAAGAUAGAAAGUACAAAGAGUGCUGAACAAGAUAAACCACCUUGUGCAUGACCUUGUCCUUGCAGAAAAGUAUCCAUUGUUGCAAGCAGAGAACAUAGCCAUGUGUGUUCUCUCGGGAUAGCCAAUUGCUAACAGCUACGUCUGCUUCUGUAUUUGCUUGCUUGCUCACCCCAAUAAAAACCCUAGGCUGUAAGCACCAGGCACGACUCUCAUCUGCAGCCAUUUUGGCACCAUGUCUCUGGAGACACCCCGAGAGUUCACCCCCGCACAGGUAAAACUUUGAAACUUUGGCCAAUAAAGUUCCAUCUUAAAAUCCUGAAA